rnacentral:rRNA from 1 species
UACGUAGGGUGCGAGCGUUAUCCGGAGUUACUGGGCGUAAAGCGCGGGCAGGCGGCUCGAUGCGUCUGAUGUGAAAUCUCCUCGCUCAACGGGGAGAGGCCAUUGGAAACGGUCGAGCUGGAGGGCAGUAGAGGUAGGCGGAAUUCCGGGUGGAGUGGUGAAAUGCGUAGAGAUCCGGAGGAACACCAGAGGCGAAGGCGGCCUACUGGGCUGCACCUGACGCUGAGCCGCGAAAGCCAGGGGAGCGAACGGG